UUUAUCAAUCAUCUAUCAAUUAUCUAUCUAUCUAUCUAUCUAUCGAUCGAUCUUCGGAUCUAUCGGUCUAUCUAUCUAUCUAUCGAUCGAUCUUCGGAUCUAUCCGUCUAUCUUCCUAUCUAUCUAUCCGUCUAUCCAUCUAUUUAUCAAUCAUCUAUCAAUUAUCUAUUUAUGUAUCUAUCUAUCUAUCUAUCUAUCUAUCAUCUAUCAAUUAUCUAUCUAUCUAUCAUCUAUCAAUUAUCUAUCUAUCUAUCUAUCUAUCUAUCUAUCAUCUAUUUUUCUUAGUAGGCUUCAGGCCCAGCACAGAGCCCAACGAGACCUGAGAUGAGACCAAGAGUCAGACUCCCAACUGACCGAGCCACCGGGCGCUCCUGAAGCUUUAAUUUUAGGACGAGCAAACUUUUGAAAUGAGUGAACUGAUUUCAGAGUCUUCUAGUGGAGAGUGUGUCGUUAGAGUGUCACGGCUUCCUGGCCUUUUUGUUUCAACGGGCCCACCUUCGUCUUCCAUCCAAACGUUAGGGAAAUCUUACAGACGGCCCCUUUCCGGUUUUGCCCUGAGUGGGUGUUCGUCCGCUCCAGGCUGGGCGAAUCCCCACGGAGCUUCAUUUUCUCCAUCUCCUCUAAUUCCCAGCUGAGGGGGGGCUGGCACCAGACGCAGACUAUGUGGCUUCCCGACACACCAAAGGCAGGAGCCGGGCUUGUUGGGUAACCGGACCGGUCACGGCUGCUGGAGCUUUCCAUGGGCGCUCCCCCAGGAGCCGAGUCAGCCGGCUGCUGCCAGGAACCUCCACACCCCGUGCUUUGGGGGUCGGGAGAGGCACACGCAUGCACGCACACGCCAGCACUGUCCCCCCAGAGCGCGGGCUUGAAGCCAGCAUCAGUGGGGAGCAACCCACGGAGGACAAGAACGCAGCAAUUCCCUGGCCGCACUGCAGAGCGGGCCUGACGCCUCCCGCCCCGGGCGUGGGGCCAGGUGGGCAGGCCCUGCCACGGGGU
rnacentral:lncRNA from 1 species